UACGAAGGGGGCUAGCGUUGUUCGGAAUCACUGGGCGUAAAGGGCGCGUAGGCGGCUUUAUAAGUCGGGGGUGAAAUCCUGGAGCUCAACUCCAGAACUGCCUUUGAUACUGAAGAUCUUGAGUUCGGGAGAGGUGAGUGGAACUGCGAGUGUAGAGGUGAAAUUCGUAGAUAUUCGCAAGAACACCAGUGGCGAAGGCGGCUCACUGGCCCGAUACUGACGCUGAGGCACGAAAGCGUGGGGAGCAAACAGG
rnacentral:rRNA from 1 species